CGGAUAGAUGGAUAAACAGACAAGACGGAUAGAUGGAUGAAUAGAUGACUAAUGGACGAACAGAGAGACGGAUGCAGGGGUGGCUGAAUGGAUGAACAGACAGAUGGAGUCAUAAAUCUUUAAGGAUAGAGAAAGACACUUCGCAGGCCCAAGGUGCCGACUGGGCAUGAUAGAAGCAGCCCGUCUUACAGUAAACCUCAGCCUCCAGCAGGGAAAGCGCUGUGGACGGUGAUGUGGGCAAUUCACACAGCUGGGACUCAUGGAGAAGUGGGUGGGCGUGUGACUGCACUUACAUACCUCCAGGCCUUGGCCUGUGAUGUUCCUUCUGCCUACAACACCCUUCUCCACUUCUUUGCCUGUCCAUCUCCCAUUCAAUCUUUUAUGACUCAUCUUGGACUUCUGUGUCCCAAGGAAGUCACCUGAGAGGUCCUCCUCUCCCUAACCUGGCCUGCCAGGUUCCCCCCACAGACCACCCUGUGUCAUGAUGGUCUGUUCACUCCUGACCCCCCAGUGGGCUGUGGGCCCCUGGCGGGCAGAGACCAUGCCCAGCUCCCGUCUCCAUCCCCAGCGCUGAGCCUGGCACUCAAAGUACUCAGGAAAUGCCAGUGAACUCAAAGCCAGCACACAGAGGGGGGAUUCUGUUCCCCACUCCCCCAGUGUACAGAAAAUGUGAUCUGAUGAGAAAGAUACUUGCCCAACUCAACUUUAAAAAAUGAAAUUGGAGUCACAAAAGCAAAGCAGGCUCAGAAGGAAAAACACAGAGCCCUAGACUUGUGGUUUGAUAGAACAGAAAAGCUCCAUAUUUAUGUCGUGUAUCAUGGUCCACAAAGAGCCGUCACGAGUCAGCUCAAUCCUGUCGUGGUAGCCAUGUUUGCUAAGUGGAAACAGAGGCCCGGAGCUAAAGUGGCUUGUCCAGGGUCACAGUUAGGAACCUGCUGGGGGCUAGGCCAGCCCAGGAGGGGAAAGGCUGACUUCCCCACAUGGAGGCGAUAAGGAGGCUCAGAGACUCUAAGUCACCUACCUGGGCUCACACAGCUAGGAAGGUAAGAAGUGGCCAGCUGGGGAGAAGGGCAGGCCGGGAACCCUGGGCCGGGCAGAGACUUCAUCCCUAGGGCCCCUGCACUGCCACCUGGACCACCAUGGACCCCCAGCUGGGAAGACAGGCCCCCCCACCCCCCAUGUGGAGUCUAGAUCUCUCAGAGCCCCAGCCCCGCCCAUCCUGGGCUCAAAAGAUAAGACUCCUUCAGCAGAAUUGGUGACAGGCUGUCCUAACUGGCUCAGCCAGGAGAUGCCCAAGUUUGGGUCAGAGGGCACGGUUCUGACUCCCAGCUCUGCCACUUGUGAACCGUGGGAGCUUUUGCAUGCGUGUCUCUAAAGCGGUGGUGAUGAAGCCUGCCGACAGGGUGGUCAUGCCCAUCACACGAAAUCGCGUAUUCAAGCACCGGCCACAGUGCCUGGGAAACCGUAAGUGUUGCCGUCCUCGCCACCAACAGCAUCUUCAUGACACCAAAGCACAGCAAAGAGGCUCAGAGUUCGCUGCAGGGGAGGAUGAAUUGCAAAGAACAGGUCUUCUGUGCUUUACCCUUCUCAGGCUGAUAGGGGAAGGCUGGAGGUCCCAGCGCGCAGAUAGGGCUGGGGGGGAGUCCCCUCCUGCAGGAACCUACAUGGCAGGGAAGGCAGGGCCACCCACUGGGGCCAAGGAGACCCAGCUAGCAACAGAUCAACAGCCCCAUCUGUGAUGGAGAGAGGAAGGGCCAGUGUGAAGGCCAGGAGGUGGGAGCUGGUUCAGCCUGGCAACGAGAGAGUGGGCAGGUUCUGUCUCCCCUCCUCUCACCAGGGUCUGUGCUCCCCCGGCCAGGCUCUUCCUCCCCAACUCCCUUGGUCUGCUCACUGCUCGCUCCCCAAAUAUUCCACACCGAUUCCUGCCACCCAGCAAGGGAGGGUACCAACCCCGCAGCUUUGGAGCCAGACGGGGCUGGAAUCAAAUUCUGAUGUUCCCACUUGCUAGCUCUGGGCUUUGGCUGUCUCUUCUGGAAAGAGGGGACUAAACGCCCCUUGUGGGAAAGGAACUUAGCACAGCACACAGGCUGCUCAGGGUCCUGGGGCAGCCUCACUGGGGUCCUCCUAAUAGGUGCCUCUCUUCCAAACAAUAAACCUGUACAGCUACUUGGGAAAAGCGCUUGUCCAUUUCUCAAACUAAACAUAAACUCAGACAUUUAUACAAUCCCACUCCUGGCUGGGCAUUUAGCCCAGAGAAAUGAAAACUUAUAUCCAUACAAAAACCUGCAGCAGCUUUAUUCAGAAUAGCCCCAAACUGGAAACAGCCCAGACGCCUCUCAAGAGGUGAACGGUUAAGCAGUCUGUGGCAUGGCCACAUCGUGGGUUACUCCCCAGCCAUAAAAGGGAAGGAACCACUGACACACAAAACAACUCAGAUGGAUCUCAGGAGCAUUGUGCUGCGUGGAAAAAAAAAGCCAACCUCCGAGGGCACAUGCUAGAUGAUUCCAUCUAUAUAACAUUCUCAAAUGACAAAAUUAUAGAGAUGGAGACCGUAUUUGUGGUUGCCAGGGGGUCAGAGGGGGUCAGAGGUGGUCAGAGGUGGUCAGGGGCAGGGCAGCAGGUGUGACUGUAUGAGGAGAUCUUUGUAAUGAUGGAGUAGUUCCAGUCUUCAUUGUGAUAGUGGUGAAGUGAAUCCACACACAUGACAAAGUGGCACAGAACUAUGCAUGCACACACACACGCGUGCACACACACGCGCGUGUUCUCUACCAAUGUCAAUUUUGAUAUUGUAGCAUAAUUAUGUGAGGUGUAACCAUUAGAACUGGGUGAAGGGUAUGUAGGACCACGCUGUACUGUCUUAGCAAUUUCCUGCGACUCUAGAAUUAUCCCAGAAGUAAAAGUGUGGUUUUUUUUUUUUUUUUAAUGGCACGCAUGGUAUGAUGUCUACAAUUGGCUCUCAAAUACUCCAGCCAUAAAGGGAAAAAAGCAAAAGAGGGAGCCCGCAAGGAGGUGACAAAACAAGAUUGCAAAACAUUGCUGAUGAUGACGCCAAGGGGUGCGGAUGAGGGAAUCACUGUCUGGACCUCUUGAUUUCUGUACAUUUUUGAAAUUUUCCAUAAUAAAGCUGUUAAAUUUUAAA